UCUAUAAUUCUCUUGGAACUUGGUCUUAAGUCUUAGCUGAUUUUGCUGUAGACUUCAAUCUGAAUCUUGAUGCUCAUCAGUUGCAGGUGCUGGUUCUUUCUUCAGCUUUUGGAUUAAGGCGGAACAAGCAAAACUUGUAACUUCAAUCAUAUCUUGAGCAGUCCGCAUCUUUCUCCGCUUCAACUUUUGAAUUUAUUUCUUUUUGUUCUUUUUGUUCUUUGCUUUAUUCUGGACUGAGACUCAUUCUUUUGGCCUUCUUGAAUCCUGUGUUUUGAGGUUGACCUACUUAAGAUACCAAAACAAACAAACGAACGAAAUUUUCUGCCCCAAUUUUGGCUGGAAAAAUUUCGUGAGUUAGUUGUGACACAUUUUUAAGCCGUCAAAUCAGAAGAGGCCUUUCGGAUUUGGCAAAAAAAUCACGGUUUUUAAACUUGGUUUUGAAAAGAAAAAGCUCUACGGUUUUCAGGCCGGGAGAUCCUCGGUUUUGGCCGGGAUAUUUGAAAACAAAAAGCUCCACGGUUUUCUGGUCGGGAGAUCCUCGAUUUUUCGGCAGGAAUAUUUUGAAUAGAAAAAGGCUCCACGGUUUUCUGGCUGGGAGAUCCUCGGUUUUUGGGCCGGGAUAUUUGAAAGCAAAAAGCUAAGCUACCAUGAUUUGAUUCUCUUUUUGGAAAUUUUCAUUUUCCAAUUCCUUCCUUCUUCCUUUUUUGGGUUUUCUUUUUAGAUGUUAUUCCUUUUUAUUUAUCAGAAUGCAUGAAAGAGUGUCUGAGAAAACUUCCUUUUUGGUCGUUUCUCGUGCUGCAGCGCUAUUUCAACGCUUGCGCAUUUCAUUUCUUUUGGGCUGCACCAUCUUCUGGCACAUCUGUUUUGAAUAAGACAUGCUUUCAACAAAGAAAAAUUCGUUAGUUGAAAUUGUGGUUGGUUUUGUGUCCUUGACCAUCUUCAUUGCCUGAUCCCGACCCCAUUUCUAUUGAGAAUUCUGUUGCUUAUUAACCAUGAGGGUGACUUUCUUUCACACUGACCGGGUUCAGCUUUAGGAUUUCCAGAUGACUCGCCCAUGUGGGCUCCGAUUUUCCACCUCAUUUUGCUUUCCAGACUUUUGCCUUUGGAUUUCUUUCUUUUCUAUUGUCUUUCACUUUGGAGGAAAUCAAUCACCAUGGUCAGUCGGGAUUGGACUGGCACACCACUGAGGCUGAGCAUUUUCUUUGACGUUUGCCGGGCGGAGCCCUGUGAAACCGGUCCUGCCACCUUUUCUUUGUACUUACUACGGAAUCAAAGUUAAACCGAAAGGGGUUCAAAGAAAAGUAUGCAAAAAGUCAAGUAUACGAGUUUAAAGAGAAGCGUCCCUUUCGGGGGAAAAGAAGGACUUAUCUGGGGUGCAUGCUGGCUCCAAAUAAACAUGACAUGCUUCUUGGACUGGACGCCCGACCCGCACCAACUUCCAACGUCUCAUGAACCCAUUGACCCAUAUUUCCAAACUUGGGAACCUUGCCAGGACUUUUAGUGAUGAAGUAUCCUCUUUUCGGCCACCGCGCCCUUUGCGGGUUUUCGCCCAUUCGACCUCUCUCAUUUCCCUUUUCACUGUCGCCUGAUAGUGCUCUCUGCAAGUUUUCACUAAGCAGACUCUCUCAUUUUUUAUUUUCUCUACUCACCGUCGCCUUAUGGCGCCCGAAGGUUUUCACCGAUAAGACUGUCAUUUUGAUUUCUCUCUAUUUGAAUUGUAUCAGAUUCCAACAAUGAUAUUUCCCACUUUAAUGUCUUCACCAAUUGAUCAAAGGGGCCUGGACAAGGUCUUUCAGCAUAAAAGGAUUUUGGGCAAAACUACAACUUUG
rnacentral:lncRNA from 1 species